rnacentral:rRNA from 1 species
GACGAACGCUGGCGGCGUGCUUAACACAUGCAAGUCGAACGGUGAAGGGGUCUGCUUUUGUGGGCCCUGGAUGAGUGGCGAACGGGUGAGUAACACGUGAGUAACCUGCCCCCUUCUUCUGGAUAACCGCAUGAAGGUGUGGCUAAUACGGGAUAUUCUGGGUCUGUCGCAUGAUGGGUCUGGGAAAGAUUGCGCCUUUGGGUGUUUUUGGUGGGGGAUGGGCUCGCGGCCUAUCAGCUCGUUGGUGGGGUGAUGGCCUACCAAGGCGGUGACGGGUAGCCGGCCUGAGAGGGUGGACGGUCACACUGGGACUGAGACACGGCCCAGACUCCUACGGGAGGCAGCAGUGGGGAAUAUUGCACAAUGGGCGCAAGCCUGAUGCAGCGACGCCGCGUGAGGGAUGGAGGCCUUCGGGUUGUAAACCUCUUUCGCCAGUGAAGCAGGCCUGCUCCUUGUGGGUGGGUUGACGGUAGCUGGAGAAGAAGCGCCGGCUAACUACGUG